UGCCCUUCACCACGGAAUAAUCCAGUGAAAAUUGGUCUAAUACCGUAUGAGGUCAUACGAUGGCAUCAGAAUAUGACGAAAGGUUUGGCGGUGAAGGAUGGGGAUGCGUCUGAUUAGCUUGUUGGUGAGGUAACGGCUCACCAAGGCGACGAUCAGUAGGGGUUCUGAGAGGAAGGUCCCCCACAUUGGAACUGAGACACGGUCCAAACUCCUACGGGAGGCAGCAGUGAGGAAUAUUGGUCAAUGGGCGAGAGCCUGAACCAGCCAAGUAGCGUGCAGGACGACGGCCCUAUGGGUUGUAAACUGCUUUUAUAUGGGGAUAAAGUGAGUUACGUGUAGCUUAUUGCAGGUACCAUACGAAUAAGGACCGGCUAAUUCCGUGCCAGCAGCCGCGGUAAUACGGAAGGUCCAGGCGUUAUCCGGAUUUAUUGGGUUUAAAGGGAGCGUAGGCCGCCCCUUAAGCGUGUUGUGAAAUGCCGCGGCUCAACCGUGGCACUGCAGCGCGAACUGGGGGGCUUGAGUGCACGCAACGCAGGCGGAAUUCGUGGUGUAGCGGUGAAAUGCUUAGAUAUCACGAAGAACUCCGAUUGCGAAGGCAGCUUGCGGGAGUGCGACUGACGCUGAAGCUCGAAGGUGCGGGUAUCGAACAGGAUUAGAUACCCUGGUAGUCCGCACAGUAAACGAUGGAUGCCCGCUGUGUGCCCUAGAGGUACGCGGCCAAG
rnacentral:rRNA from 1 species